GUCUGCCCUAGUCACUGGGGUGGGGGGUGGGGGACUUCUGAAUCACUAGAGGCUCUGGAAUGACCCAACCUCUUCAUACCCCAG
ensembl:miRNA